UUCACAGACUCAUCCAGUAAAAAAACAUGUGCUGGAAGGAUAUACUCUUGUAAUUUCUGUAAAUUACAGAAUUGACGCUGAAAAAGACAUUCCCAGUCCAGAGCAAAGGGGCAUCAGCACUCACAACAGCGGUCCUUGACUGUGCCAUCUACGACCGAGGAGAACCGCUCAGCUUCGACAUCGAAUGACGUUUCUUGGAAGAAUGAGGAUGAAAUCAUCUAUUUAAGUUUGAAGGAAAACAAAGGGGAUGUAUUGCAGCACUAUGAAAUUAUGAAAAGGCUGGGUCAAGGAUCGUAUGGAAAUGUUUACGAGGGGAUCCGUUUGAUUUACGAAAGGUGGCUCUCAAAUUUGUGGUGAA